UCCAACAAAAUCGGAAAAAAACUAAUUUUUCUAAUUUAAGGUUGGAUUUUUUUUCUUUUCAAUUUGGGCUUCUGAUAAUUAAAGUAAAAAAAAAGGAAAGAGCAGGGUUUACCUUGAGGUUGAAGGAAUAUGAAACAGAGGAAUGGGACAAAGGUGCGAUAUUGAGAUGAAGAACAGUGAGUCUAAGCUUUUCGAGUGAUAUGAUUCCUUUGAGAAGUUGCCCUUGUUUCUUCAGACAUUUAACUUUCAGGCUGACAUGGUUUUGUAUCACUGUAGCUUCGAUUUUGGGGAUGCAAGUUUGAUCUUCGCGAGUCGUCCACAACUCGUUCGACGAAAUGCCUGAGAGAUGGUCCUUCGCGUUUCCAACUACCUCACUGCGUUGUUGCGUUCUCUUUUGCGAUUCAAGAGACUGUAUGAUUUGCUCGAGGACCUUCACGUAGUUUAUUGCUCCCCCUACUAUAGACGCUUGGUCUCCCUGCAAAUACAAAUUAAGGGUUUUUGAUAAGGUUUUGCAGAUUAAAGGUUGAAACUUUUUUUUGGUUUUUUUGUUGUUAUUACUCGUUGGAUGUAGGUUGGUGGGAGAAGGGC
rnacentral:lncRNA from 1 species